ACCCAAUUCUGCCAUGAAACACUCCACAAAACACCUGCCCGACCUGUUCCUUUUCAAACGCCUGCUGCCAGGAUGCAUAGCAACUGACAGCCUUCUUUAGUGACACAGGAUGCUGUUCUCCAUCUACAACUCAGAACAUAUUGACACUCACUCCAUUCAUCUGCCAGCGUGCCACAGGCUACAUGUAGGAUCAGUUUUCUUCAACAUCCAUCGCUGACUUCGAGACAACAGAUGCAGCACAUUUCGAGUCUCCAAGCCAGAGAGAUAAAAGUGGAUUGACCAAGUUCUGAGUGUCUGGCCCAGAGAGGUAGAAGACGCACAGAGACAUUCGAAAUGAGGUUAAGCUCAGGAGAGCAAACCUUCACUUCAAGAGCGGGACGAUAACUGCUGCGGAGUAUCCAUAUCUGCGGAGUAUGAGCCGUGACUCGUCUGAAGUCCUGUUCUGAAGUGUGCAUAUGAUUGACACUUUACCAUACCAUAAAAGCAAGGGAGAUGAUUUCUGAAUGGCGGUGACAUGACGCAACAGAUGCU